CGGGACGGGUGAGUAACACGUGGAUAACCUACCUAUAAGACUGGGAUAACUUCGGGAAACCGGAGCUAAUACCGGAUAAUAUAUUGAACCGCAUGGUUCAAUAGUGAAAGACGGUUUUGCUGUCACUUAUAGAUGGAUCCGCGCCGCAUUAGCUAGUUGGUAAGGUAACGGCUUACCAAGGCAACGAUGCGUAGCCGACCUGAGAGGGUGAUCGGCCACACUGGAACUGAGACACGGUCAGACUCCUACGGGAGGCAGCAGCA
rnacentral:rRNA from 1 species